rnacentral:rRNA from 1 species
CCUGCCCUGUGAUUUUUUUAACGGCCGCAGUACUUUGACUGUGCUAAGGUAGCAUAAUAAAUUGGCUUUUAAUUGAGGUCGAGUAUGAAAGGGAUCAUGGGAAGAGACUGUCUCCAUGAAAUUUCACAAAACUUACUAAAUAGGUGAAAAUACCUAUAAUAAUUAUUUUAGACGAGAAGACCCUUAGAAUUACAGCUAAUAAAGUAGAAUUACUUCUUUGGCUUUUGUUGGGGCAACAUUGUUAGGAAGUAACCAACAUUUUUAGAAAAUUUUACGACUUUUUUAAACAGAAAAAUAUAAAUUACCUUAGGGAUAACAGCAUAAUUAUAUUAAUAGAUUGUGACCUCGAUGUUGGACUAGGGACUUUAAUUAUUAGCCAUUAUUAAAGAUAGUUCUGUUCGAACUGUAACACCCU